rnacentral:rRNA from 1 species
GUGGGGAAUAUUGGACAAUGGGCGCAAGCCUGAUCCAGCAAUGCCGCGUGCAGGAAGAAGGCCUUCGGGUUGUAAACUGCUUUUGUACGGAACGAAACGGUCCGGGUUAAUACCCUGGGCUAAUGACGGUACCGUAAGAAUAAGCACCGGCUAACUACGUGCCAGCAGCCGCGGUAAUACGUAGGGUGCAAGCGUUAAUCGGAAUUACUGGGCGUAAAGCGUGCGCAGGCGGUUUUGUAAGACAGGCGUGAACUCCCCGGGCUCAACCUGGGAACUGCAUUUGUGACUGUAUAGCUAGAGUACGGUAGAGGGGGAUGGAAUUCCGCGUGUAGCAGUGAAAUGCGUAGAUAUGCGGAGGAACACCGAUGGCGAAGGCAAUCCCCUGGACCUGUACUGACGCUCAUGCACGAAAGCGUGGGGAGCAAACAGGAUUAGAAACCCCGGUAGUCC